rnacentral:lncRNA from 1 species
AAAGAGUGAGGAUUUAAACUGCUCUACUUCAAAAGUUAUAAUAAAGCUACAGUAAUCAAAAUUGUGUGUUGCCAGGUACAGUGGCUCAUGCUUGUAAUCCCAGAGUUUUCGGAGGCCAAGACAGAACUGCUUGAGCUCAAGAGUUUGAAACCAGCCUGGGCAACAUAAUGAGAUCUCAUCUCUACAAAAAAUUAAAGUAUCAGCCAAGCAAGGUGGUUUACAUGACUGGCUACUCGGGAAGCUGAGCUAACCAUGAGAAAAACACCAAAUCAUCCCAAAUUAAGGAUGUUGGAUAAAGUGCCUGUCCAAUACACAAAACCGUCAAGUUGGUAAAAAACAAAGUCUGAGAAACAGUCACAGUCAAAAGGAGCCAAAAGAAAUCUGAAUACUAAAUGUUAUCUGCUACCUUGGAU